UAACAAGACUAAAGCCCAAUGGUGGUGUACUUUACACCAAUCCAGCUUAUUGCUGGCAUUUCACGUUAUGGUCUUAGUGUUGUGUGCAGCGUUUCCACUAAACUUGUAGCAAUCGUAGCAUGACUGAGCUCCUCAUUACAACACAUUUUACUGCCAAUGUUUGUCUAGAUUUUUAUGUGUCGUGUUCCUUUCUAAAAACAGCAAUUGUGUAAAAUGGUAAUCACAUAAUCACUGGGAAGUUCCCUUUUUUGGUUGUUUGUUUAUUUGCUGUGGAUAUACUCAACUUCUGUGUGCACUCACUUUCCUGGCAGUUACAUUGCACCUACUCUGGUUGGGUCAGAUGGUGUCAAAAGCCACCUCUAUUUUUAUUUCUAUUGUAAACAGAUGAUAUUUCUGUAUAUAAUUGUUUAUUUAUUUUACUCAGAGUUGCUGUGAAUCUGGUGCCAUGUGGAAACACUGGAAAUAAGGUGUGAACGCAGCCUUGACAGUGUAAUACACCUAGGGCCACGUCAGAACAGCUAAUUCAUCUUCUACAUGUUUGUUGGAGUAGAGAAGAGAGCACAGGACAGAAGAGAAAGAAAUGACAAGAAAUGGGAGAGACCCACCACCAACUCCAGAUUUGCAUCCAAGGAGAGCACGCCGCUGCCCACGCCUUCUUUACACGUGUACAGCCCUCCUCUUCUCAUCCACGCUUCCUGCACGGGCAUCUCCUCUGCUCUUUUGUAGGUCAACUGUUCUUUGAGUGGCUAAUUCACUUACUGGUAUUGGGAGGUUGAAGGAAAACCUGUUCCCAGAAAAAAAUAUGCAUGAGAGAGACUCAAGCUAAAGAUCAAAGGUAACUGGCACUAUACUGUGCCACCACUGUGCCACCCACAUUGAUGAUAAGUAGCUCCAUACACUUUGUUAAUAGUUUAUUCCUUAU